GCAAGUCGAGCCGAACCCUUCGGGGUUAGCGGCGGACGGGUUAGUAACGCGUGGGAAUAUACCCUUUGGUACGGAAUAGCCUCGGGAAACUGAGAGUAAUACCGUAUGUGCCCUUCGGGGGAAAGAUUUUAUCGCCAAAGGAUUAGCCCGCGUCGGAUUAGGUAGUUGGUGGGGUAAUGGCCUACCAAGCCUACGAUCCAUAGCUGGUUUGAGAGGAUGAUCAGCAACACUGGGACUGAGACACGGCCCAGACUCCUACGGGAGGCAGCAGUGGGGAAUCUUAGACAAUGGGCGCAAGCCUGAUCUAGCCAUGCCGCGUGGACGAUGAAGGCCUUAGGGUUGUAAAGUCCUUUCAGAUGGGAAGAUAAUGACGGUACCAUCAGAAGAAGCCCCGGCUAACUCCGUG
rnacentral:rRNA from 1 species